AUCCCCCAGCUGGCCUCCGGUGCUCCUUACCUCCCCGGUGGUCGGGCGCGAAUUACUGGAAAUUGGCUUUUCCCGUUGGGGCCGAAGGUACCUUCCCUGCGGCGGCGACUCAGCGGGGUGUCGUUCGGCCGGCGUGACGCAGCCGGAUCGGCGCCAGACGGAAACCUAGCGGUGACUGUAUCUGAAUUUUGCAGCUGCAGAAUGUGUAGUACCUUAAAAGGUUGGCAACAAUGAGUAAACCAGAAUUAAAGGAAGACAAGAUGCUGGAGGUUCACUUUGUGGGAGAUGAUGAUGUUCUUAAUCACAUUCUAGAUAGAGAAGGAGGAGCUAAAUUGAAGAAGGAGCGAGCGCAGCUUUUGGUCAACCCCAAAAAAAUAAUAAAGAAGCCAGAAUAUGAUUUGGAGGAAGAUGACCAGGAGGUCUUAAAAGAUCAGAACUAUGUGGAAAUUAUGGGAAGAGAUGUUCAAGAAUCAUUGAAAAAUGGCUCUGCUACAGGUGGUGGAAAUAAAGUUUAUUCUUUUCAGAAUAGAAAACACUCUGAAAAGAUGGCUAAAUUAGCUUCAGAACUAGCAAAAACACCACAAAAAAGUGUUUCAUUCAGUUUGAAGAAUGAUCCUGAGAUUACGAUAAACGUUCCUCAAAGUAGCAAGGGCCAUUCUGCUUCAGACAAGGUUCAACCGAAGAACAAUGACAAAAGUGAAUUUCUGUCAACAGCACCUCGUAGUCUAAGAAAAAGAUUAAUAGUUCCAAGGUCUCAUUCUGACAGUGAAAGCGAAUAUUCUGCUUCCAACUCAGAGGAUGAUGAAGGGGUUGCACAGGAACAUGAAGAGGACACUAAUGCAGUCAUAUUCAGCCAAAAGAUUCAAGCUCAGAAUAGAGUAGUUUCAGCUCCUGUUGGCAAAGAAACACCUUCUAAGAGAAUGAAAAGAGAUAAAACAAGUGACUUAGUAGAAGAAUAUUUUGAAGCUCACAGCAGUUCAAAAGUUUUAACCUCUGAUAGAACACUGCAGAAGCUAAAGAGAGCUAAACUGGAUCAGCAAACUUUGCGUAACUUAUUGAGCAAGGUUUCCCCUUCCUUUUCUGCCGAACUUAAACAACUAAAUCAACAGUAUGAAAAAUUAUUUCAUAAAUGGAUGCUGCAAUUACACCUUGGGUUCAACAUUGUGCUUUAUGGUUUGGGUUCUAAGAGAGAUUUACUAGAAAGGUUUCGAACCACUAUGCUGCAAGAUUCCAUUCACGUUGUCAUCAAUGGCUUCUUUCCUGGAAUCAGUGUGAAAUCAGUCCUGAAUUCUAUAACAGAAGAAGUCCUCGAUCAUAUGGGUACUUUCCGCAGUAUACUGGAUCAGCUAGACUGGAUAGUAAACAAAUUUAAAGAAGAUUCUUCUUUAGAACUCUUCCUUCUCAUCCACAAUUUGGAUAGCCAGAUGUUGAGAGGAGAGAAGAGCCAGCAAAUCAUUGGUCAGUUGUCAUCUUUGCAUAACAUUUACCUUAUAGCAUCCAUUGACCACCUCAAUGCUCCUCUCAUGUGGGAUCAUGCAAAGCAGAGUCUUUUUAACUGGCUCUGGUAUGAAACUACUACAUACAGUCCUUAUACUGAAGAAACCUCCUAUGAGAACUCUCUUCUGGUAAAGCAGUCUGGAUCCCUGCCACUUAGCUCCCUUACUCAUGUCUUACGAAGCCUUACCCCUAAUGCAAGGGGAAUUUUCAGGCUACUAAUAAAAUACCAGCUGGACAACCAGGAUAACCCUUCUUACAUUGGUAUCCAAUAUUUAUGACAUUCAAUUGUGUAAUUUUUGUUUUACCCUGUACAUUUCCUGUCUCUGGAAUUUAAUGACAGCAGUGCAGUUUUUCACAGCAGUGAGUAAGUGGUCACUCAUGAUGGGUAUGUCUGCCACAUAGCAAAUUUUCAAGCAGCUCUACAGAUCCACUGCUGAGCAAGGUGUUUGCCAACACAAAUUGAAAGACAAACCCAGCUUACUUUUAAAAUUUUCUGUGCUAACUAUGGAUGUGUAUCUGCCAAGUACAUAUUUUUCAUAUUCUAGGCAUCUUAGGAGAUUUUCUUCCCCUUUGGCAAAAAUGAUUUCAACAAACAUUUUAAUAAUUGUUCUGCUCUCAUGACUUACUUGUUCCUUCUUUAAAAGUCCUAUCAAUACUUGUUCACUGCUCUGGGAUAACAUGCAAAUAGCACUUUUAUUCUGUUCUUUUGUAUGGGUGUUUGUAUAUUGGGUCAUGUCUUAAGUGCUGACUUAUGUUCAUAUCCUUUUGAACUUGCCAGGCCUUUCUUUUCAAGAUUUUUACCAGCAGUGUCGGGAGGCAUUCCUCGUCAAUAGUGAUCUGACACUCCGGGCCCAGUUAACUGAAUUUAGGGACCACAAGCUUAUAAGAACAAAGAAGGGAACUGAUGGAGUAGAGUAUUUAUUAAUUCCUGUUGAUAAUGGAACAUUGACUGAUUUCUUGGAAAAGGAAGAAGAGGAGGCUUGAAGCUUUCCUUUAUUCUUGAAUCUCCCAUGGAAGGGUUGUACCCCAGCUGCCACUCCUCUAGUUGAAAGUGUUGUGUUUACAUCUGACAUUAAAUUAUUUUUCCAGCAUACAAGAUUUAAAUUUGGGAAGGGGGGGAUGUCCUCAAUUAGAACUUUUUGAUCAGCCUGGCUGGUACCGUCUAGUACUAUGCAGCGGUCCUCAAGUUGGAGAAAAUGUGCCUUUCAUUCAUUACCUCUCUGGAGACUUCUUGCUGGAAUGAACAGUGUGCUCAGGGACUAUUUGGAACUGGAUGUUUUUGAAUUAUUUUAUACUUAGAGAUAUUCUGAAUUUUUUGAGGGCCUUUUAACACUCCCCGAGCUGAUUGUUUGCAAGUGUGUUUGUUCCAGAGUGUGGAAGUAUAAAGACAUGGGCAUCACGUAAAUUGGUUUUGUUUGCUAUUCUGUGUGUCAGAACCAACGAGUGUAAUGGAGAGGGCAGGUCAUCUCUUAUUGUUUCUAAAACAACUUAAAAGGUGUAGAUUGGGAAGAGGUGAGUGAUCCAGCUUUCUCCUUUUGGAUUGAGGCUAUGUACUUGGUGGGGGCAGGGGAGGGAAUAUAUUAUAAUACUAUUCAGUUGGGAUAAUGGGAAAAACAGAGUAUAUAGGGUAUCUACCCAGCCUAGAAAGCACAGGAACAAUACGUCAUAUAUUUGGAACAGUUAUUGUCUGUGCCAUGACCUUCAUGAUACCAGUGAGAAGCCAGGCUAGAGAAAUAAAAUCCUGAAUUACAUUUUAGUAAUUGUUUUCAAGACAACAAAAAAUAAAACAUUUCAUUAUUCUUGUAUAUUGACAUAUUUUUCUUUUCUUGAACAACAUGCAGGUGAGUAGCAUAUUAAUGGCUGGCUGUAAAUUAAUUUUGAUUCCUCUGUCAAGUAGACCUAAAACUCACUGUAAGAUAUUUCAGUUUUUUCCUUAAAGUGAUGAUUUCAAACCUCCUGAAUAUUUGCGCGAGACUUUUUUCUUAGGAAAGAAAAAAGGCUCACCUUGGCUACUGUUGUCAGCUUACAGUCAUCACAUACCCCCUGAAAUAUUUGACACUUGGAAAUGAAGUUCUUCCUGAAAAUAUCACUGCAAUAAAAUACGUACUACGUCAGCAUUUCUCACUCAUUUCUUAUCUUGUAAACCUCUUUCAUGAAAAUAUUUCCAAAAAUCCUUGGAAUUUUUAAAUAAUUUUUCUUGUGGCAUAUAAUUAAGUAAUUUUGGCCAGGCAUAAUGGCUUAUGCCUGUAAUCACAACACUUUGGGAGGCCAAGGCAGGAGGAUCUCUGGAGCCCAGGAGUUUAAGAACAGCCUGGGCAACAUAGUGAGACCUUGUCUCUACAAAAAAUUUAAAAAAUCAUCCGGGCAUGGUGGCCCAUGCCUAUAGUCCUAGCUGCUGUGGAGGCUGAGGCAGGAGGAUCGCUUGAGCCCAGGGGUUCAAGAUUACAGUGAGCUAUGAUUGUGCCACUGCACUUCAGUCUGGGUGCAGAGCAAGACCUUGUCUUUUUUUUUUUUUAAAUCAUUUUUUUAAAAAGUAAUUUUAUGUUAAGUCCAUGGGCUUAGUCUUUUUUUUUUUUUUUUUUUUUUUAGAUGGAAUUGCACUGUCAUCCAGUCUAGAGUGCAGUGGCGUGAUCUAAGCUUACAGCAGCCUCCACCUCCUGGGUUCAAGUGAUUCUUGUGCCUCAGCCUCCUGAGCUGGGACUACAGGCACACGCCACCACGCCUGGCUAGUUUUUGAAUUUUUAGCAGAGAUGGGGUUUCACCAUGUUGGCCAGGCUGGUCUCGAAUUCCUGACCUCAAGUGAUCCUGCCUCGGCCUCCCAAAGUACUGGGAUCAGGGGUGAGCCACUAUGCCUGGCCAAGGGCUUAGUCUUAAAUAUAACCUCUAGUCAAAAUGUUUAAACAAAUUUGUACAUAAAUGUGAUUUAAAAAAAUUUUUUUAAUAGUACCAAAGGAUAUUCAGUGAAAGUGAGUUUCCUGCCCACUCCCUGAUCCACCCAGUUCUUUAGGCAACCACUGAUAGCAUUUUCUUAAGUAUUCUUCCAGAUAUCGUCUAUGCAUAUGUAAAAGUAUCUGUCUUUCUCCUUUUAAAAACACAAUUGGUAAUAUAUCAUACUUGCUGGUUUGCACCUUGCUUUUUUUGCUUAAUAUAUCUAGUUUAUAAUGACCUAAUGUGCAAAUUUUUGCAUCUGCCCUAAAUAUCUACUGGUUUAUUUUUAUAAUUUUUGUGUCUAUACUAUUUGCAAGCAGUAUGUGUCAGUAGACUUUAUUAUUAAUAAAUAAAAAGCCAAUUUGGAUAGAAUCACUUUA